GACGAACGCUGGCGGCGCGGCCUAACACAUGCAAGUCGAACGGAGCUUGAGAGAGCUUGCUUUUUUAAGCUUAGUGGCGAACGGGUGAGUAAUGCGUGAGUAACCUGCCCUGGAGGUGGGGGACAACAGUUGGAAACGACUGCUAAUACCGCAUAAGCCCACGAUCCGGCAUCGGAUUGAGGGAAAAGGAUUUAUUCGCCUCAGGAUGGACUCGCGUCCAAUUAGCCAGUUGGUAAGGUAACGGCUUACCAAGGCAACGAUCAGUAGCCGACCUGAGAGGGUGACCGGCCACAUUGGGACUGAGACACGGCCCAA
rnacentral:rRNA from 1 species